CCUACGGGAGGCUGCAGUGAGGAAUAUUGGUCAAUGGGCGGGAGCCUGAACCAGCCAAGUCGCGUGAGGGAAGACGGUCCUAUGGAUUGUAAACCUCUUUAGGCGGGGAGCAAUGCCGGGCACGUGUGCCCGGAGGGAGAGUACCCGCAGAAUAAGCAUCGGCUAACUCCGUGCCAGCAGCCGCGGUAAUACGGGGGAUGCGAGCGUUAUCCGGUUUUAUGGGGUUUAAAGGGUGCGUAGGCGGAUUUUUAAGUCAGCGGUAAAAUGUCCGGGCUCAACCCGGGCCGGCCGUUGAAACUGGGGAUCUUGAGUGGGCGAGAAGUAUGCGGAAUGCGUGGUGUAGCGGUGAAAUGCAUAGAGAUCACGAAGAACUCCGAUUGCGAAGGCAGCAUACCGGCGCCCGACUGACGCUGAGGCACGAAAGCGUGGGGAUCGAACAGGAUUAGAUACCCCAGUAGUC
rnacentral:rRNA from 1 species